UGAACGGAUGCUUGUUGGUUUGAGUGCCUAGCUGUUAACUAGGAGUUUGCAAGAUCAAGGCUUGCCCGUCCAG
rnacentral:tRNA from 1 species